rnacentral:rRNA from 1 species
CACGUAGGGGGCGAGCGUUGUCCGGAUUUAUUGGGCGUAAAGAGCUCGUAGGCGGUUUCGUAAGUCGGAUGUGAAAACUCCAGGCUCAACUUGGAGACGCCAUUCGAUACUGCGAUGACUUGAGUCCGGUAGGGGAGUGCGGAAUUCCUGGUGUAGCGGUGAAAUGCGCAGAUAUCAGGAGGAACACCGGCGGCGAAGGCGGCACUCUGGGCCGGUACUGACGCUGAGGCGCGAAAGCUAGGGGAGCAAACGGG